rnacentral:rRNA from 1 species
UGGUGACGAGUGGCGGACGGGUGAGUAAUGUCUGGGAAACUGCCUGAUGGAGGGGGAUAACUACUGGAAACGGUGGCUAAUACCGCAUAACGUCGCAAGACCAAAGAGGGGGACCUUCGGGCCUCUUGCCAUCAGAUGUGCCCAGAUGGGAUUAGCUWGUUGGUGAGGUAACGGCUCACCAAGGCGACGAUCCCUAGCUGGUCUGAGAGGAUGACCAGCCACACUGGAACUGAGACACGGUCCAGACUCCUACGGGAGGCAGCAGUGGGGAAUAUUGCACAAUGGGCGCAAGCCUGAUGCAGCCAUGCCGCGUGUAUGAAGAAGGCCUUCGGGUUGUAAAGUACUUUCAGCGGGGAGGAAGGUGUUGYGGUUAAUAACCGCAGCAAUUGACGUUACCCGCAGAAGAAGCACCGGCUAACUCCGUGCCAGCAGCCGCGGUAAUACGGAGGGUGCAAGCGUUAAUCGGAAUUACUGGGCGUAAAGCGCACGCAGGCGGUCUGUCAAGUCGGAUGUGAAAUCCCCGGGCUCAACCUGGGAACUGCAUUCGAAACUGGCAGGCUUGAGUCUUGUAGAGGGGGGUAGAAUUCCAGGUGUAGCGGUGAAAUGCGUAGAGAUCUGGAGGAAUACCGGUGGCGAAGGCGGCCCCCUGGACAAAGACUGACGCUCAGGUGCGAAAGCGUGGGGAGCAAACAGGAUUAGAUACCCUGGUAGUCCACGCCGUAAACGAUGUCUACUUGGAGGUUGUGCCCUUGAGGCGUGGCUUCCGGAGCUAACGCGUUAAGUAGACCGCCUGGGGAGUACGGCCGCAAGGUUAAAACUCAAAUGAAUUGACGGGGGCCCGCACAAGCGGUGGAGCAUGUGGUUUAAUUCGAUGCAACGCGAAGAACCUUACCUGGUCUUGACAUCCACAGAAGAAUCCAGAGAUGGAUUUGUGCCUUCGGGAACUGUGAGACAGGUGCUGCAUGGCUGUCGUCAGCUCGUGUUGUGAAAUGUUGGGUUAAGUCCCGCAACGAGCGCAACCCUUAUCCUUUGUUGCCAGCGGUCCGGCCGGGAACUCAAAGGAGACUGCCAGUGAUAAACUGGAGGAAGGUGGGGAUGACGUCAAGUCAUCAUGGCCCUUACGACCAGGGCUACACACGUGCUACAAUGGCGCAUACAAAGAGAAGCGACCUCGCGAGAGCAAGCGGACCUCAUAAAGUGCGUCGUAGUCCGGAUUGGAGUCUGCAACUCGACUCCAUGAAGUCGGAAUCGCUAGUAAUCGUGGAUCAGAAUGCCACGGUGAAUACGUUCCCGGGCCUUGUACACACCGCCCGUCACACCAUGGGAGUGGGUUGCAAAAGAAGUAGGUAGCUUAACCUUCGGGAGGGCGCUUACCACUUUGUGAUUCAUGACUGGGGUGAAGUCGUAACAAGGUAACCGUAGGGGAACCUGCGGUUGGAUCACCUCCUUACCUUAAAGAA